CUGGUAUGUCUGUCUAUCAGCAUGCAAAUUACCUGAUGGAAAAUCUGCAAUGACAGGAGAAGCAACAAGCUUGCUUUAAAUUAAUUUUAAGCUCAGACCAGAUAUACCAGCAAGAGUCACAACCAACGAAGAGUCUUGCUAGCAAAAGGAAGAUGUCUCAUCAUCACAGAACAGAAAAAAGGUCUCCGUAAGACAGACAGUCAUGCAGGAGGUAUCAGGUAAUGGCCACUUCUAAAGAAAGAACACAAGACUACAUCGAAGGCUGGUGUAAUGCAUUAUGACAAUUUGUAUGUGCUCUAAGAAGAAAAUAGAGGAUAGUGUUGCCUAGGAAAUGGUAAGUCUGCACCUCUGGUUAUGGGGCUUAAUCAGGGGACCUUAUCUUCUUUAUACCAUCAAGUCAACAAUAAGCCUCAGCUGUUUCCACACAGACUUAAUAUAGUACUUUUAAAAGAAGAUAGGAAUUACUUAAAUACAUAGAUACUAUCUGAGUGCCUCGAGAGUAUUUAAAUAUAGAAAUAAAAUUAGUAUGCAAAAAUAUUUUAUCAUAAUUUUCCACUGGCAGUCUUGCCAUGAGGGUAAAGUUGUUUUGCUCAUAGUCUCUUGAAUCACAUCUUUCUAUUCUGUUAUAAAGAUUUGCUGAUUCAUUUCCUUUUCCAACACUAAAUUGACAUUGCCAAUAUAGCCUUGUAGAAAGAAGGAGGAAAAUGUACUUAUAUGUUUAUUUACAAAAGACCAGAUUAUCUUGUAAUUUUCCUAUAUAGUUCUCUACUGAGGACAAAUCUAGUUUAAACUGUAUCCUAUUCUUACAAUUUUUAAAUAGUAUCUUAACCUUGGGCUUGUGUGAAACAUUUUAGCUCACUUUUAUCAAAUAUAUUUCGUAUAUACUUUAAUCCUAUCAUGCCUUUGAGAACCAUGGGGAUUGGGGGUGGAAGAGAACACUGCAAGAUUAGUUUGUUAGUAACAGUAUUUGGGGAGUGGAAGUCUCCCUAAUUCCUCCACCCCUGAGAUUCUUGUUUGGGUGGAGUUUUCUAUAAACAAGGUUUGGGAUUUGGCAGGGUCCCAGGGUUUUUGCAAACAGAACAUGGUGAGAGUUUCUUCUUGCCUUUUGACAUGGACAACUCUCAUUUCCACCUGGAGGAGGAAGACGACUGACCAGAAUAGGAAGAUAAUUGUUUUUGUUUUUUAUGCCCACACCCAGACUGAUACCAGUGCAGGGUAUUUCUGGCUGCAUGUGCGGGUCUGGAGACCACCUGUAACAAACCUGAAUCAAAUAGGUGGUUUUGGGAUAUUGUAGCAAAGGCAUUGUCUGUGUGAAUUUUGAAGUCUGCUAAGAUAGUGAGCUUUGUGAACUUUCAUCUGCACAACAGACGGUGUCAAGAACAGCACCUCUCCAAGGAAGACUUUGGUGUCUGGAGGUUUAUAGGUUAGCAGAAUGCCCAAGUUAGUCACUCUCAGGACACAUGAUUUUUUCCUCCCCUAGAGAACCUUUUCCCACAUUUAAUCCCAGAUGGGAGUAGAAUGUCUAUUCCACCACUCCACGUGCACAAACCAGCCCUAAAGUCAAUUGAUCUAGCAAAAGGAAGAGGAUCUUGGUGUGCCCUAGGGUCACAAUAACAGCAUCUAUAUACCCCAUCACUACUGUCAGCAUAGUAGAGUGUCCCUUUGCCUCAGCAUUCCCUGGUUUCUGCAAAGCUGUCUGGUGGUAGCCAGUGUUAAUCAUGGCACCUUUCAAGCUAU